rnacentral:rRNA from 1 species
UACGUAGGGUGCAAGCGUUGUUCGGAAUUAUUGGGCGUAAAGAGCUCGUAGGCGGUCUGUCACGUCGGCUGUGAAAUCCCGAGGCUCAACCUCGGGUCUGCAGUCGAUACGGGCAAACUAGAGUAUUGCAGGGGAGACUGGAAUUCCUGGUGUAGCGGUGAAAUGCGCAGAUAUCAGGAGGAACACCGGUGGCGAAGGCGGGUCUCUGGGCAAUAACUGACGCUGAGGAGCGAAAGCGUGGGGAGCAAACAGG